rnacentral:snoRNA from 1 species
UUUAAAUGAUGAAAAACUUAAUUUUCAGUUCUGCUUCUGAACCAAAAAUUCUAUGAAGAUAACCUUUUACCAAAGCUCAAUAUCUGAAGU